UACGAAGGGGGCAAGCGUUGUUCGGAAUUACUGGGCGUAAAGGGUGCGUAGGCGGGUCUUUUAAGUCAGGGGUGAAAUCCUGGAGCUCAACUCCAGAACUGCCUUUGAUACUGAAGAUCUUGAGUUCGGGAGAGGUGAGUGGAACUGCGAGUGUAGAGGUGAAAUUCGUAGAUAUUCGCAAGAACACCAGUGGCGAAGGCGGCUCACUGGCCCGGUACUGACGCUGAGGUGCGAAAGCGUGGGGAGCAAACAGG
rnacentral:rRNA from 1 species